rnacentral:rRNA from 1 species
UGCGUACUGGGCGAACGUUAUUCGGAAUCACUGGGCUUAAAGGGUGCGUAGGCGGCCUUCCAGGUCCGGUGUGAAAUCUCUCGGCUCAACCGAGAAAUGGCGCUGGAAACCGGAAGGCUUGAGUGUGCUAGGGGUGUGUGGAACUUCCAGUGGAGCGGUGAAAUGUGUUGAUAUUGGAAGGAACGCCGGUGGCGAAAGCGACACACUGGGGCACAACUGACGCUGAGGCACGAAAGCUAGGGUAGCGAACGGG